rnacentral:rRNA from 1 species
AUUGAACGCUGGCGGCAGGCCUAACACAUGCAAGUCGAACGAGUGGCGGACGGGUGCGUAAUGUCUGGGACACUGCCCGAUGGAGGGGGCUAACUACUGGAAACGGUAGCUAAUACCGCAUACCAUCGGAUGUGCCCAGAUGGGAUUAGCUAGUAGGUGGGGUAAUGGCUCACCUAGGCGACGAUCCCUAGCUGGUCUGAGAGGAUGACCACGCACACUGGAACUGAGACACGGUCCAGACUCCUACGGGAGGCAGCAGUGGGGAAUAGUGCACAAUGGGCGCAAGCCUGAUGCAGCCAUGCCGCGUGUAUGAAGAAGGCCUUCGGGUUGGAAAGUACUUUCAGCGGGGAGGCGUUACCCGCAGAAGAAGCACCGGCGAACUCCGUGCCAGCAGCCGCGGUAAUUC